rfam:Astyanax mexicanus Tnplaced_Scaffold_9914, whole genome shotgun sequence.
UGUUUAACCCUUUGUAAGUCGCUCUGGAUAAGGGCGUCUGCUAAAUACCGAAAA